rnacentral:rRNA from 1 species
UGAGUUGCGAACGGGUGAGUAACGCGUAGGUAACCUGCCUUGUAGCGGGGGAUAACUAUUGGAAACGAUAGCUAAUACCGCAUAACAAUGGAUGACACAUGUCAUUUAUUUGAAAGGGGCAAUUGCUCCACUACAAGAUGGACCUGCGUUGUAUUAGCUAGUAGGUGAGGUAAUGGCUCACCUAGGCGACGAUACAUAGCCGACCUGAGAGGGUGAUCGGCCACACUGGGACUGAGACACGGCCCAGACUCCUACGGGAGGCAGCAGUAGGGAAUCUUCGGCAAUGGGGGCAACCCUGACCGAGCAACGCCGCGUGAGUGAAGAAGGUUUUCGGAUCGUAAAGCUCUGUUGUAAGUCAAGAACGGGUGUGAGAGUGGAAAGUUCACACUGUGACGGUAGCUUACCAGAAAGGGACGGCUAACUACGUGCCAGCAGCCGCGGUAAUACGUAGGUCCCGAGCGUUGUCCGGAUUUAUUGGGCGUAAAGCGAGCGCAGGCGGUUUGAUAAGUCUGAAGUUAAAGGCUGUGGCUCAACCAUAGUUCGCUUUGGAAACUGUCAAACUUGAGUGCAGAAGGGGAGAGUGGAAUUCCAUGUGUAGCGGUGAAAUGCGUAGAUAUAUGGAGGAACACCGGUGGCGAAAGCGGCUCUCUGGUCUGUAACUGACGCUGAGGCUCGAAAGCGUGGGGAGCGAACAGGAUUAGAUACCCUGGUAGUCCACGCCGUAAACGAUGAGUGCUAGGUGUUGGAUCCUUUCCGGGAUUCAGUGCCGCAGCUAACGCAUUAAGCACUCCGCCUGGGGAGUACGACCGCAAGGUUGAAACUCAAAGGAAUUGACGGGGGCCCGCACAAGCGGUGGAGCAUGUGGUUUAAUUCGAAGCAACGCGAAGAACCUUACCAGGUCUUGACAUCCCGAUGCUAUUUCUAGAGAUAGAAAGUUACUUCGGUACAUCGGUGACAGGUGGUGCAUGGUUGUCGUCAGCUCGUGUCGUGAGAUGUUGGGUUAAGUCCCGCAACGAGCGCAACCCCUAUUGUUAGUUGCCAUCAUUCAGUUGGGCACUCUAGCGAGACUGCCGGUAAUAAACCGGAGGAAGGUGGGGAUGACGUCAAAUCAUCAUGCCCCUUAUGACCUGGGCUACACACGUGCUACAAUGGUUGGUACAACGAGUUGCGAGUCGGUGACGGCGAGCUAAUCUCUUAAAGCCAAUCUCAGUUCGGAUUGUAGGCUGCAACUCGCCUACAUGAAGUCGGAAUCGCUAGUAAUCGCGGAUCAGCACGCCGCGGUGAAUACGUUCCCGGGCCUUGUACACACCGCCCGUCACACCACGAGAGUUUGU